rnacentral:lncRNA from 11 species
CUGGCCUGUACUUCUUCUGAAGAAAGCACAUGGCUGCCCAGUUUCUGGGAAACUACCAUUUUUUCACCCGCUGUACUGUGAUGUUUAACAAGAUUUGUCCAGAAUAAAAUAUCUGGAACCUUGUUUUGCGUCUCUGCAGCUGAGUUGGCACUAUCGAACGAAGUUUUUGGUACAUAAAUAUUGGGUUGCUGUGAGUUUUCCGGGCUGUAUGGCUAUGUUCCAGAAGCAUUUUCUCUUGAUGUUUCACCCACAUCUAUGGCAGGCGUCCUCAGAGGUUGUGAGAUCUGUUGGAAACUAGCUGAUUCUUCAUGUUCAAAAGAAUGCCUGUGGAAAAAUAAACACAAUUGACAGCAUAAGUUACCAUAUAAGUAUUCAGAGACAACAGUCCUACUCUAAAAUAGAUAUGAAAUUACCUACAACAAAGUCCCUCUAUAAUUCUCAAAAAGCAAUAAAAUACUCGCGUGAAUAAGAUUUAGAACUUUAUGGAGUUAUCUGAGUUGCCUGCAUCUGAACAGCGAGAACACUCAAAUACAGUGUACACAAGAUAACCUUGCAGAAUAUCAUUAGGAUCUGCAUCAAACUGGAACAAUAUUGUGAAAUAGAUUAUAGUAGAACUUUGCAGCAGGAGCUAAGAAAGCAUUAUUUGAUGUGCACAGUGAUUUCCUCCUCAAGAAAAGAAAUGAACUUACCUGUUUCAGUUCUGUCUACAGAAUAUUAAAGUGCUGUGACUAAUGGAGA